AUGCGCAUUCACAUGCGUGGCAUCCGUCUUUGGGGUGUUCUUUCUGACGAGGUCUGCUGUCCGCCACGUCUAGUUCCUCCGGUGGCCCCUACUCCGCCAACUCCAUCGGUUCUUCCUACGGAUGCUAAUCAGGCCGCCAAGGAUGCGGCUAAGGUUGCUGAUGAGGCUGCUGAUCGUGCUUAUGAUGAGAGGGUUUUGGCUUAUGAGGAGGCUCUUCAGACGUAUCAUGGUGCUCUGCUGUUUACACCCAGUGGCUUGAUGAUGAUGCUCGUGCUGCAGCUGUUCUCACUGCUAGUGUUCUGCCUCAGUUUGCUUCUGAAUUUCUGGGUCUUUCUACUGUCUUUGAGAUGUGGACACGUCUUCGUGAGCGCUAUCAGCCCUCUGGUGAUGCCUUAUACCUCUCUGUGA
rnacentral:rRNA from 1 species